rnacentral:rRNA from 1 species
ACUGACUAUUAGACUACCCCUGUACGUCCGAGGGUAGUAAACGCUGCAGACUUGGUGUUGGAGCCCGUUUGGGGGCAUUCAGUGCCGGAGAGAAGUUGUUAAGCCUGCUGCUUGGGGAGUAUGUCCGCAAGGAUGAAACUUAAAGGAAUUGGCGGGGGAGCACAACAACGGGCGGAGCUUGCGGUUUAAUUGGAUUCAACGCCGGAAAUCUUACCGGGACCGACAGCAACAUGAAGGCCAAGCUGAAGACUUUGCCGGAUUAGCUG